CAAGGCUAAAUACUCCUGACUGACCGAUAGUGAACCAGUACCGUGAGGGAAAGGCGAAAAGAACCCCGGCGAGGGGAGUGAAAAAGAACCUGAAACCGUGUACGUACAAGCAGUGGGAGCCUCUUAAUGGGGUGACUGCGUACCUUUUGUAUAAUGGGUCAGCGACUUAUAUUCUGUAGCAAGGUUAACCGAAUAGGGGAGCCGAAGGGAAACCGAGUCUUAACUGGGCGUUAAGUUGCAGGGUAUAGACCCGAAACCCGGUGAUCUAGCCAUGGGCAGGUUGAAGGUUGGGUAACACUAACUGGAGGACCGAACCGACUAAUGUUGAAAAAUUAGCGGAUGACUUGUGGCUGGGGGUGAAAGGCCAAUCAAACCGGGAGAUAGCUGGUUCUCCCCGAAAGCUAUUUAGGUAGCGCCUCGUGAAUUCAUCUCCGGGGGUAGAGCACUGUUUCGGCAAGGGGGUCAUCCCGACUUACCAACCCGAUGCAAACUGCGAAUACCGGAGAAUGUUAUCACGGGAGACACACGGCGGGUGCUAACGUCCGUCGUGAAGAGGGAAACAACCCAGACCGCCAGCUAAGGUCCCAAAGUCAUGGUUAAGUGGGAAACGAUGUGGGAAGGCCCAGACAGCCAGGAUGUUGGCUUAGAAGCAGCCAUCAUUUAAAGAAAGCGUAAUAGCUCACUGGUCGAGUCGGCCUGCGCGGAAGAUGUAACGGGGCUAAACCAUGCACCGAAGCUGCGGCAGCGACACUAUGUGUUGUUGGGUAGGGGAGCG
rnacentral:rRNA from 1 species